rnacentral:rRNA from 1 species
CCCUUAGAUGUUCUGGGCCGCACGCGCGCUACACUGACGAAUGCAACGAGCUUAUAACCUUGGCCGAAAGGUCUGGGUAAUCUCCAAAUUUCGUCGUGAUGGGGAUAGAUUAUUGCAAUUAUUAAUCUUCAACGAGGAAUGCCUAGUAAGCGCAAGUCAUCAGCUUGCGUUGAUUACGUCCCUGCCCUUUGUACACACCGCCCGUCGCUCCUACCGAUUGAAUGGUCCGGUGAAGCGUUCGGACCGUGGCCUUUGGACGGUUCGCCGUCUGCUGAAACUUGAUUAAACCAUAUCAUUUAGAGGAAGGUGAAGUCGUAACA